rnacentral:rRNA from 1 species
UAACGCGUGGGUAACCUGCCCUUAAGUCUGGGAUACCAUUUGGAAACAGAUGCUAAUACCGGAUAAAAGCUACUUUCGCAUGAAAGAAGUUUAAAAGGCGGCGUAAGCUGUCGCUAAAGGAUGGACCUGCGAUGCAUUAGCUAGUUGGUAAGGUAACGGCUUACCAAGGCGAUGAUGCAUAGCCGAGUUGAGAGACUGAUCGGCCACAUUGGGACUGAGACACGGCCCAAACUCCUACGGAGGCAGCAGCA